rnacentral:lncRNA from 1 species
GCAUCCAAGAUGGUGAAAGGAAAGAAGGUCAAGGGGAAGAAGGUGGCCCAAGCCCCAGCCACGGUCAAGAAGCAGGGAGCCAAGAAGGUGGUGAAUCCACCAUUCAGGAAGAGGCUGAAGAACAGACCAGAGACCAAGCAGGAGAGGAACCAGAGGCCGUUGGCCAGGGCUCAGAAGAAGGCUGCUGGCAAAGGGGUUGUCCCCAUGAACAGAACACAGAUCCUUUGAGCAGGAGCCAACACCGACACCACCUUAGUGGAGAACAGGAAGGCUAA